rnacentral:rRNA from 1 species
UACGUAGGGUGCAAGCGUUGUCCGGAAUUAUUGGGCGUAAAGAGCUCGUAGGCGGUUUGUCGCGUCUGCUGUGAAAACGCGAGGCUCAACCUCGCGCCUGCAGUGGGUACGGGCAGACUAGAGUGCGGUAGGGGAGAUUGGAAUUCCUGGUGUAGCGGUGGAAUGCGCAGAUAUCAGGAGGAACACCGAUGGCGAAGGCAGAUCUCUGGGCCGUAACUGACGCUGAGGAGCGAAAGCGUGGG